GAUGAACGCUGGCGGCGUGCCUAAUACAUGCAAGUCGAGCGAACAGACGAGGAGCUUGCUCCUCUGACGUUAGCGGCGGACGGGUGAGUAACACGUGGAUAACCUACCUAUAAGACUGGGAUAACUUCGGGAAACCGGAGCUAAUACCGGAUAAUAUAUUGAACCGCAUGGUUCAGUAGUGAAAGACGGUUUUGCUGUCACUUAUAGAUGGAUCCGCGCCGCAUUAGCUAGUUGGUAAGGUAACGGCUUACCAAGGCAACGAUGCGUAGCCGACCUGAGAGGGUGAUCGGCCACACUGGAACUGAGACACGGUCCAGACUCCUACGGGAGGCAGCAGUAGGGAAUCUUCCGCAAGGGGCGAAAGCCUGACGGAGCAACGCCGCGUGAGUGAUGAAGGUCUUCGGAUCGUAAAACUCUGUUAUUAGGGAAGAACAAAUGUGUAAGUAACUAUGCACGUCUUGACGGUACCUAAUCAGAAAGCCACGGCUAACUACGUG
rnacentral:rRNA from 1 species